UACGUAGGGGGCUAGCGUUGUCCGGAAUCAUUGGGCGUAAAGAGCGCGUAGGCGGCCAGAUAAGUCCGGUGUGAAAGUCACAGGCUCAACCUGUGAAUGCCGCUGGAAACUGUCUGGCUAGAGUCCGGGAGGGGCGAGUGGAAUUCCUGGUGUAGCGGUGAAAUGCGCAGAUAUCAGGAGGAACACCAAUGGCGAAGGCAGCUCGCUGGGACGUGACUGACGCUGAGACGCGAAAGCGUGGGGAGCAAACAGG
rnacentral:rRNA from 1 species